GAAUGAAGGUAGCAAUCUAGUGAGCACAUAAAUUGAAUCAGGUCUAUUGGCCUGUCCACUCUCAUGCCUACCAGCUUUGAUUUGGGGGCAUAGUUCCACGGCAUGACA